ACCCCCAUAGUGGCAGCACGGAGUGAUGUACCGGUAAUGGAUGUUACCUGCAGAGAGGAGCUCACUAUGACAGUGGUGCUCCAUUUCCGAUCUCCACCUUCCCGCUCCGCCAUCUUGGGCCGCCGUAUCCUCGCCGUCCUAUUGGGUGGGAGGAGACACGUGAUCACCGUGCGCAGUCCAGAAGCCAGACAGGCGGAAAGGACAGGUAGCCCUAUGACGUCAGAGUUGUUCAUGGUCCAAGUGCAGCACAG